CCUGGGGGCGAUGCGGGCUGUGGCCUCCGUGCCCGGAGCCUGGCCUGGAAGGACACCCCGCCGGAGCAGGAGGGGCAGCUCCACCCGCCCUGUUAAAGAGAGAAGCACCAUCGUGCAUCAGUGAAAAGGCAGCCCCCCCACCUGGUGCUUCGGCACCACCUCCCUGCUGGGGUGACAGCCCGGCUCCCCCAGACCAGGGUCAUCGGUCCAGCAAUUGACCCGCGAGGACGAAGACAAGUCACGUUGCCGAGCAUAUUAGCAGGCCAACCCUCAGAGCCCCGGCUGGCGCCAGCACGGCAGCCACCUGUCAGCCACUCUAACGUAAAAUGUGGUCAAAAGCCAAUUGCAAAGUUCAGAAAGGCACAGAAAAACCACCAAAGAAUGACUACAUGGGCGCAUCUGCGAAGAAAAAAGUUACUCUCAGAGGAAGGGACAGCCCCAAGACGCAG